CGGGGUGUGGCGCAGUCUGGUAGCGCACAUGGCUGGGGGUCAUGUGGUCGCCCGUUCAAAUCGGGUCACCCCGACCA
rnacentral:tRNA from 1 species